rnacentral:rRNA from 1 species
GAUGAACGCUAGCGGCAGGCCUAAUACAUGCAAGUCGGACGGGAUUCAGGAGCUUGCUUCUGAUGAGAGUGGCGCACGGGUGCGUAACACGUAUGUAACCUACCUUUAUCAGGGGAUAGCCUCUCGAAAGAGAGAUUAAGCCCGCAUAAAAUCACAGCACAGCAUUGUGUAAUGAUCAAAUAUUUAUAGGAUAAAGAUGGGCAUGCGGAACAUUAGCUAGAUGGCGGGGUAACGGCCCACCAUGGCGACGAUGUUUAGGGGAUCUGAGAGGAUGGCCCCCCAAACUGGUACUGAGACACGGACCAGACUCCUACGGGAGGCAGCCGUAAGGAAUAUUGGUCAAGGGGCGGAAGCCUGAACCAGCCCUGCCGCGUGCAGGAAGACGGGCCUUCGGGUUUGAAACUUCUUUUAUACGGGAAUAAACCCAGGUACGUGUAUUUGGCUGAAUGGACUGUAAGAAUAAGGAUCGGCUAACUCCGU